AGAGUUUGAUCCUGGCUCAGGAUGAACGCUGGCGGCGUGUCUAAGGCAUGCAAGUCGAACGGAUUCUCUGUCGUAGCAAUACGACAAAGCGUGAGUGGCAAACGGGAGCGUAACACACUGGUAACCUACCCUGAGGUUCGGCAUAACUCCGCGAAAGCGGAGCUAAUUCCGGAUGUGCUCCCCUUCUGAUUGAAGGGGAGGAAAGCAGCAAUGCACCUUGGGAGGGGCCUAUGGCUCAUCAGCUUGUUGGUAGGGUAACGGCCUACCAAGGCUACGACGAGUAGCGGGUGUGGGAGCACGAUCCGCCUCACAGGGACUGAGACACUGCCCUGACACCUACGGGUGGCUGCAGUCGAGAAUCUUCCCCAAUGGACGAAAGUCUGAGGGAGCGACGCCGCGUGCAGGAAGAAGCUCUUCGGGGCGUAAACUGCUUUUAUUUGGGAACAAGUCAUGAGUGUACCAAAUGAAUAAGUACCUGCUAAACUCGUGCCAGCAGCAGCGGUAAUACGAGUGGUACAAGCGUUAUCCGGUUUUAUUGGGCGUAAAGGGUCCGCAGGCGGUCGCACAAGUCUUGUGUUAAAUCCUGGUGCUCAACAUCAGGACUGCGUGAGAUACUGUGUGACUAGAGGAUGGGAGAGGCCAGUGGAAUUGCCGGUGUAGCAGUAAAAUGCUCUCAUAUCGGCAGGAACACCAAAAGCGAAGGCAGCUGGCUGGAACAUUUCUGACGCUCAGGGACGAAAGCGUGGGUAGCGAAUGGGAUUAGAUACCCCAGUAGUCCACGCCGUAAACUAUGGAUGCUAGGUAUUGGGAGUGUCGACCCUCUCAGUGCCGUUUAUUGAAGGUAACCCCUUAAGCAUCCCGCCUGGGAAGUACGGCCGCAAGGCUAAAACUUAAAGGAAUUGACGGGAGCCCGCACAAGCGGUGGAGCAUGUGGUUUAAUUCGACGGUAAGCGAAGAACCUUACCAAGGCUUGACAUGUCGCGAAGUCGCCGGAAACGGUGAUGUGCCCGCAAGGGAACGCGAACACAGGUGCUGCAUGGUUGUCGUCAGCUCGUGUCGUGAGAUGUCGGGUUAAGUCCUUUAACGAGCGCAACCCUCAUCUUGUGUUACUUUUCACAAGAAACUGCCUCGGUUAACGAGGAGGAAGGUGGGGAUGACGUCAAAUCAGCAUGGCUCUUACGCCUUGGGCCACACACGUGCUACAAUGGCCACGACAAUGGGGCGCGAAGUCGCAAGACGGAGCAAAUCCCAUCAAACGUGGUCUCAGUUCGGAUUGGAGGCUGCAACUCGCCUCCAUGAAGCCGGAAUCGCUAGUAACCGCGCGUCAGCCAUAGUGCGGUGAAUACGUUCUCGGGCUUUGUACACACCGCCCGUCACGCCAAGAGAGUCGGUGGCACCUGAAGAGCCCCGUUCGGGGACCUAGGGUGAAAUCGAUGAUAGGGGCGAAGUCGUAACAAGGCACCGGUAGCGGAAGCUGUCGGUG
rnacentral:rRNA from 1 species